UACGUAGGGUGCGAGCGUUAAUCGGAAUUACUGGGCGUAAAGCGUGCGCAGGCGGCUUUGCAAGACAGAUGUGAAAUCCCCGGGCUCAACCUCGGAACUGCAUUUGUGACUGCAAGGCUAGAGUACGGCAGAGGGGGAUGGAAUUCCGCGUGUAGCAGUGAAAUGCGUAGAUAUGCGGAGGAACACCAAUGGCGAAGGCAAUCCCCUGGGCCUGUACUGACGCUCAUGCACGAAAGCGUGGGGAGCAAACAGG
rnacentral:rRNA from 1 species